rnacentral:lncRNA from 1 species
UGGGCCUCGGGGAGAGAGACGGACUGCCUCCGGGUGCUCAUGACCUUUCCAGCAGUAAGCCAAUAAUGUAUGACUCCUGCGUUGCCGUUGCUCGUUUGAGGAACAUCUGUCCAGUCCCUGGGAUGGUGAGGCUAUAACCACAAAGGAAUAAGAGAAGACGACUAGUUUUGUAAUGGGCACAGUGGAUUGAAGAGGGGGGCAGUGCUGAGUCAUUCACGUGGUGUGUGAGGGCUCCUGUUUGUAAAUCAGGGAUUCUUGCAGCCUGCUUUUUCAGGGACAUUGGCUGCUGUCUUCUGACCCACCCUGUGUGGCUUUGGCGUCUCCUGUGACCUCCCAGUAUGGGUCUUGGCCUCAUCCUGCCUCUUUGUCUUUCUGGCCCACCACCCACAGCUUGAAUCUCAGGCUCCAACAGUUGCCUGACCCCCAGAUUCUGAUGACAGCCUACCUACUUGUUCUUCAGGCCCUCACCAGACUCACUGCCCAGACACACCACACAGGAGAACAUGAAAGGGUGAAUGAAUCUUUCAUCAUUUGAUGACCAAGUUGGCAUUCUUUUACAUUCCAGCCACCAGAGGAAGGUGUAUUUUAACACAAUUGCCCUCACAUCCUCCUUAACAGGAUUUACAUAAGUUUAUUAACACAUAUGUUUCUACAAAAUCAAGUUUUGAGAACCAUUUUUAUACACUGAUCUGGGACAUUUUGGGGAUAUGAAAUUAACUUUAGCACACACAGCAAGAAGAAAACCGAACAACAAAUUCUACAAACACCAAAUUUGCUGUGAAAUUUACAUUUCAGAAUCUCUCAAGAAAUAGUGCCCAGCAGCAAUUCUUACUGUUUUCACUUUUUCCCCCGUCUUCACAUUUUUAUGUUUGACAGUGCCAACAUAUUUUCUCAACAUUUAUUCUGAAAGGAAUGUACUUUGUGAAUUCCUUAAAUGCAGGAUGAUUCUGAU